rnacentral:rRNA from 1 species
GUGAGGAAUAUUGCGCAAUGGAGGCAACUCUGACGCAGCCAUGCCGCGUGCAGGAAGAAGGCGCUACGCGUUGUAAACUGCUUUUAACCGGGAAGAAACCCCAGGACGUGUCCUGGGUUGACGGUACCGGAGGAAUAAGCACCGGCUAACUUCGUGCCAGCAGCCGCGGUAAUACGAAGGGUGCAAGUGUUAUCCGGAUUCAUUGGGUUUAAAGGGUGCGUAGGCGGAGCGUUAAGUCAGUGGUGAAAUCCUGCAGCUUAACUGUAGACUUGCCAUUGAUACUGGCGCUCUUGAGUGCGCUUGAAGUGGGCGGAAUGUGCCGUGUAGCGGUGAAAUGCUUAGAUAUGACACAGAACACCAAUUGCGAAGGCAGCUCACUAAGGCGAUACUGACGCUGAGGCACGAAAGCGUGGGGAUCGAACAGGAUUAGAAACCCGAGUAGUCC